rnacentral:rRNA from 1 species
UUUGCCCUACGGGAGGCAGCAGUGAGGAAUAUUGGUCAAUGGACGCAAGUCUGAGCCAGUCAUGCCGCGUGCAGGAUGACGGCUCUAUGAGUUGUAAACUGCUUUUGUACGAGGGUAAACCCCGAUACGUGUAUCGGGUUGAAAGUAUCGUACGAAUAAGGAUCGGCUAACUCCGUGCCAGCAGCCGCGGUAAUACGGAGGUUCCGGGCGUUAUCCGGAUUUAUUGGGUUUAAAGGGUGCGUAGGUGGU